rnacentral:rRNA from 1 species
AUUGAACGCUGGCGGCAUGCUUUACACAUGCAAGUCGAACGGCAGCGCGGGCUUCGGCCUGGCGGCGAGUGGCGAACGGGUGAGUAAUGCAUCGGAACGUGCCCAGUAGUGGGGGAUAGCCCGGCGAAAGCCGGAUUAAUACCGCAUACGACCUGAGGGUGAAAGCGGGGGACCGAAAGGCCUCGCGCUAUUGGAGCGGCCGAUGUCGGAUUAGCUAGUUGGUGGGGUAAAGGCUUACCAAGCGGACGAUCCGUAGCUGGUCUGAGAGGACGACCAGCCACACUGGGACUGAGACACGGCCCAGACUCCUACGGGAGGCAGCAGUGGGGAAUUUUGGACAAUGGGGGCAACCCUGAUCCAGCCAUGCCGCGUGCGGGAAGAAGGCCUUCGGGUUGUAAACCGCUUUUGUUCGGGAAGAAAUCCUCUGGGCUAAUACCCCGGGGGGAUGACGGUACCGGAAGAAUAAGCACCGGCUAACUACGUG